rnacentral:rRNA from 1 species
UACGUAGGGUGCAAGCGUUGUCCGGAAUUAUUGGGCGUAAAGAGCUCGUAGGCGGUUUGUCGCGUCUGCUGUGAAAACGCGAGGCUCAACCUCGCGCCUGCAGUGGGUACGGGCAGACUAGAGCGCGGUAGGGGAGAAUUGGAAUUCCUGGUGUAGCGGUGGAAUGCGCAGAUAUCAGGAGGAACACCUGCGGUGUAGACGGCUUACUGGACCGUAACUGACGCUGAGGCACGAAAGCGUGGGUAGCAAACAGG